rnacentral:rRNA from 1 species
UACGUAGGCAGCAAGCGUUGUUCGGAAUUACUGGGCGUAAAGCGUGCGUAGGCGGUGCUUCAAGUUUGGUGUGAAAUCUCCCGGCUCAACCGGGAGGGUGCGCCGAAAACUGAGGUGCUCGAGUAUGGGAUAGGUAGGCGGAAUUCCUGGUGUAGCGGUGAAAUGCGUAGAUAUCAGGAGGAACACCGGCGGUGUAGACGGCUUACUGGACCAUCACUGACGCUGAGGCACGAAAGUGUGGGGAGCGAACAGG